rnacentral:lncRNA from 1 species
AACCCUUAAAUAAGUAACUCUUUACUACAAAGAUUAUACCAUUCAAUAGGGUUACAGACGUGUUAUGAUACAUUUGCUUGUCUACUAAUCAAGUUUGCAGUUUCGAUUCAUUUGUUCCAAAAAAAUCAAGUUUGCAGUUUCGAUUCAUUCCAAUUUCAAUGUUACUUGAGAGAGUCUACGAGAGUUUCUAUCUUUCGGGGUGAUUCUCAACUUAACCACGGCCAACAUUAGAGAUCUUAUUUCUGUUAAUAUGAAAUAGUUUUAAAAGGCGCCAGUCGAGCAGCGGGUAUGGGCUUAAUCCUUAGGAGAUUAGGUCUUUUUUUUAAUAAAAUUUAUUAUACAACAUAUAAUAAGUGUCUACUUAUACUUAAAGAAAAUACGUAAUUGUAUCUAGAAACAUAAAUUGUAAAAUAUAGGGAGUAAAUCAACCUCUUAUAAGUCCUUACAUGGUUGUUCCUUUCACUAAUGUGAAAUUCUUUUACCUUUACAUCCUUACAAAAACUACCCAGCUUGCUUAGACCCACCUAGCCUGCUUAUGUCCACCUUGGCAGGCAACUAGGCAGGUUUAGGAGGAUAAAUAACUUGGUUAUUGAACGUUCAAGGAUUCUCGGUGUCUUAAUGGAGUAAAUAUAUUGGAGUUUUAAUCAUAUGCAAUCAAUAAAGGAUCCUAGCUAUAACAGUGGAAUUAGUUAAAACUCUAGCUAUAAAACUAAGGAG